GAUGAAGAACGUAGCGAAAUGCGAUACGUAAUGUGAAUUGCAGAAUUCAGUGAAUCAUCGAAUCUUUGAACGCAUAUUGCACUCUCUGGUAUUCCGGAGAGCAUGCUUGUUUGAGUAUCAGUAAACACCUCAACUUCCAUAUCUUUUUUGAAAUGGGAGUUGGACUUGAGUGAUCCCAACGCUUUUCCUCACCGAAAAGUGGCGGGUUACUUGAAAUGCAGGUGCAGCUGGACUUUUCUCUGAGCUAUAAGCAUAUCUAUUUAGUCUGCCUAAAAAACAGAUUAUUACCUUUGCUGCAGCUAACAUAAAGGAGAUUAGUUCUUGUGCUGACUGAUGCAGGAUUCACAAAGACAGGCUUCGGCCGACUUUGUAAACUCGAUCUCAAAUCAAGUAAGACUACCCGCUGAACUUAAGCAUAUCAAUAAGCGGAGGA
rnacentral:misc_RNA from 1 species